AUGAGGAGACAUCAGCAUGUCACUUUCCUUGACACCCAACUACUGCCCCCAGAAGAGAUUCUUUCCAGGCUAAGAAAGACCCCACUGCCUAUCCAGCAGUGGGGCUCAGUAAGCCAUGAAGUGAUUUACAAACAUUGGCUACCAUGGUCUAUUACAGGUAGAAGCAACAGUGAAAAUCACGACGGUGAGAUCAAGCAAAGCAGAUGGACUGAAGGACAAGGACGACUCUGCCCAGCAGAGGGAGGGAAAGCCCGGGCUGGACUCCACGUGGCCGGAGCUCCCAGGAAGCAGAAGUUUGCUUGGUAAACUUGGAAUCGGAACCUGGGAAUUGGGCCACUGGGAUAUUCAAUGGCGUCAGACCGGUGUAGCUGAUACUCCUGGACAGAGGGGCUCUGCCAACUGGACAGAUGUGUGAAGUGUUGCUGACCGAGCUCCUUGCUCUGUGUGGGAGGGAGCUUGCCAGCUCCAGCCUUGUGGGUCUCCUUUUUCUAUUUCCAAGCUUAAAUAAGCACUUGGCUGUUCUGAUUAGCAUUUUUAAAAGCUGUGUUAAUAAGUUCAAUUAAAAUAGAAGAAUCUCUCAUUCUGUCAUAUCGGGGUUUUUUUAAAUUGCAAACCAAUAAAACUUAAAUGAACUUAAGCAAAAAAUAAUUUAUUGGAAGGAUAUGUGGGAGAUUGUACUAGGGUUCUCAAGAGAAACAGAGACUGAGGCAGAGAGAGAGACCAACUUUAACAAUGAUCUCACACAAUUGUGGGGGCUGGCAAGUCUGAAAUUUGGCCAGCAGGCUGAACAUUCAGGUGAGCUGAUGUUGCAGCUUGAGUCCAAACUCCACAGGACGGCAGGUUGGAAACUCAGGCAGGACUUCUGUGUUGCAGUUUCAAGAAUUCCUUCUUCGAUUUAUCUAUUUCCUCUCCAAUUUAAGUCCUGGAGGCUGGAAGUCUGAAAUCAAGGUGUCAACAGGGUUGGUUCCUUCCAAGGGCUCUGAGGGAAGGGUCUGUUCCAGGCCCCCUCUCCUUGGCUUGCAGACGGCAAUCUUCACCUUUAUGUGGCAUUUUCCCUGUAUAUGUGCGUG
rnacentral:lncRNA from 1 species